rnacentral:rRNA from 1 species
UAAAGCAAAGAAGAGCGCAGAGUGAAUGCCUUGGCAUUGGGAGCCGAUGAAGGACGUGGUUAACUGCGAUAAGCUGCGGGGAGCUGUAAGCAAGCUUUGAUCCGCAGAUUUCCGAAUGGAGCAAUCCACAUGAAGUAGUUCAUGUAUCCAUACGUGAAUUCAUAGCGUAUGGAGGGGAACCGCCUGAACUGAAACAUCUAAGUAGGGCGAGGAAGAGAAAUCAACCGAGAUUCCGUAAGUAGUGGCGAGCGAACGCGGAAGAGGCCAAACCGAGAGAAGAAAUUCUUUCGGGGUUCGGACUGCAUUUAGUAUUCUUGAUCUUUAGUCGAACAGUCUGGGAAGGCUGACGAGAGAGUGUGAUAGUCACGUAGACGAAAAGGAGAAAGAGCGAGCAGUAUCCAGAGUACCGCGGGGCACGUGAAAUCCCGUGGGAAGAUGGGGGGACCACCCUCCAAGCCUAAAUACUACCCAAUGACCGAUAGCGUAAAGUACUGUGAAGGAACGGUGAAAAGAACCCCGGGAGGGGAGUGAAAAGAACCUGAAACUCUGUGCUUACAAGCACAUAGAGCACGUCAAUGUGUGAUAUGGUACCUUUUGUAGAAUGGUCCGGCGAGUUAUGGUAUGCAGCGUGGUUAAGGACUUCAGGUCUGAAGCCGAAGCGAGAGCGAGUCUGACAAGGGCGAAAAGUUGUAUGCCAUAGACCCGAAACCGGGUGACCUAGCCAUGUCCAGGCUGAAGUGGAGGUAAAACUCCAUGGAGGGCCGAACCGACCUCCGUUGAAAAGGCGGCGGAUGAACUGUGGGUAGCGGAGAAAUUCCAAUCGAACCCGGAGAUAGCUGGUUCUCCCCGAAAUAGUUUUAGGACUAGCCUCAAGUUAGAUACCUGGAGGUAAAGCACUGAAUAGCCUAGCGGCCGAGAGGUUAGCGAAGCUUAUCAAACUCAGAAUGCCAGAGUAUUGAUGCUUGGGAGUCAGACAGUGUCAGAUAAAUGUCAUUGUCAAAAGGGAAACAGCCCAGAUCUACAGCUAAGGUCCCAAAGUCAGGUUAAGUGGAAAACGAUGUGAAGAUACGUAGACAACCAGGAUGUUGGCUCAGAAGCAGCCACACAUUCAAAGAGUGCGUAAUAGCUCACUGGUCGAGCGUCUUUGCGCGGAGAAUUUAACGGGGCUAAACCUGACACCGAAGCUUAGGCAAUACAGCAAUGUAUUGGGUAGGGGAGCGUUGUAUACGCGGUGAAACAGUAGCGCAAGCGGCUGUGGAGUGUAUAGAAGUGAGAAUGCCGGAAUGAGUAGCGCGAAUGCAGUGAGAAUCUGCAUGGCCGAAAGCCUCAGGUUUCUGGAGGAAGGUUCGUCCGCUCCAGGUUAGUCGGGAGCUAAGGUGAGGCCUAACGGCGUAGCCGAUGCACAGACGGUAGAGAUUCCGUCACCACCAAAAGAGUUAAGCACAGGGACACAUUUGAAGUCUCGGAGCCGGGUGUUGGUUCCGGUAGCGAUCGAGGGAAAUUAGUACCGAAGUCCGGGAUGGAAGAUGGCGAGAAAAGCUGUGUGUAUUUCUGCGGUGCCCGUACCGCAAACCGACACAGGUAGGUAGGAAGAAGAUUCUAAGGCCAACGGGAGAAGGGUUGUUAAGGAACUCGGCAAAUUGACCCCGUAACUUCGGGAGAAGGGGUGCUCCAGAGAUGGAGCCGCAGAGAAUCGGCCCAAGCAACUGUUUACCAAAAACACAGGUUUGUGCUAAAUCGAAAGAUGACGUAUACGAGCUGACGCCUGCCCGGUGCUGGAAGGUUAAGAGGAGAUGUGCAAGCAUUGAAUCGAAGCCCCAGUGAACGGCGGCCGUAACUAUAACGGUCCUAAGGUAGCGAAAUUCCUUGUCAGGUAAG